ACACCCCACUAUCACCCUCCUCCAGCCCGAUACCCCCUAUAUAGGUAGGUACCACCCCACUAUCACCCUCCUCUAGCCCCAUACCCCCUAUAUAGGUAGGUAUCACCCUCCUCUAGCCCCAUACCCCCUAUAUAGGUAGGUACCACCCUCCUCCAGCCCCAUACCCCCUAUAUAGGUAGGUACCACCCUCCUCUAGCCCCAUACCCCCUAUAUAGGUAGGUAUCACCCUCCUCUAGCCCCAUACCCCCUAUAUAGGUAGGUACCACCCCACUAUCACCCUCCUCUAGCCCCAUACCCCCUAUAUAGGUAGGUACCACCCUCCUCUAGCCCCAUACCCCCUAUAUAGGUAGGUACCACCCUCCUCUAGCCCCAUACCCCCUAUAUAGGUAGGUACCACCCUCCUCUAGCCCCAUACCCCCAUAUAGGUAGGUGACACCCCACUAUCACCCUCCUCCAGCCCCAUACCCCCUAUAUAGGUAGGUACCACCCUCCUCUAGCCCCA